CCAAUUUUAUAGCAAGAUGCGCAUCAGAUCAAACAGGGCUGUGCCAUGUGAGAACGAUUUACGAUGAUUAUGUAUUACAAAAUAGAAUAAUCAGAAUAACAUUACAAUAAGAUAAAGAGUGAGGAAAACUACAUUUUAGAACUUAGAAAAUUCAUUUAAUAGAAUUAUGGACCGCAAAAAUGUGCUCAAGCUUCUCGCCGGCACGGUUGUUACUCUCCAUUUAGGCUUUUAUUUCGUUAAGCCGCUCAUUCUGCCUCCUACGGACAAAAGUCAAACGACUUCUGCGCCGGAAAGACCUUCUUACCGCUAGAAUUGCGUUUUUUCGUGUGUUAGGCUAUCAAAAGCUGUGAUAUAUAUUAAAUUCAACAUGUUGAUUUGAUUGAUUGAAUAUAAUUAUUGAAAAGAAUAAUAAA